UGCAAGUCGAGCGGAAAGGCCCUUCGGGGUACUCGAGCGGCGAACGGGUGAGUAACACGUGAGCAACCUGCCCCAAGCUUUGGGAUAACCCUCGGAAACGGGGGCUAAUACCGAAUAUUACUUCUGGCCGCAUGGCUGGUGGUGGAAAGUUUUUCGGCUUGGGAUGGGCUCGCGGCCUAUCAGCUUGUUGGUGGGGUGAUGGCCUACCAAGGCGACGACGGGUAGCCGGCCUGAGAGGGCGACCGGCCACACUGGGACUGAGACACGGCCCAGACUCCUACGGGAGGCAGCAGUGGGGAAUAUUGCACAAUGGGCGGAAGCCUGAUGCAGCGACGCCGCGUGAGGGAUGACGGCCUUCGGGUUGUAAACCUCUUUCAGCAGGGACGAAGCGAGAGUGACGGUACCUGCAGAAGAAGCACCGGCCAACUACGUGCCAGCAGCCGCGGUAAGACGUAGGGUGCGAGCGUUGUCCGGAUUUAUUGGGCGUAAAGAGCUCGUAGGCGGCUUGUCGCGUCGACCGUGAAAACUUGGGGCUCAACUCCAAGCCUGCGGUCGAUACGGGCAGGCUAGAGUUCGGUAGGGGAGACUGGAAUUCCUGGUGUAGCGGUGAAAUGCGCAGAUAUCAGGAGGAACACCGGUGGCGAAGGCGGGUCUCUGGGCCGAUACUGACGCUGAGGAGCGAAAGCG
rnacentral:rRNA from 1 species